GACGAACCGUGCAAACGUUACUCGGAUUCACUGGGCUUAAAGGGCGCGUAGGCUGUUCGUUAAGUCGUGGGUGAAAUCUUUCGGCUCAACCGGAAAAUUGCCCCCGAUACUGGCGAGCUCGAGGGAGGUAGGGGCAGCGGGAACUGCCAGUGGAGCGGUGAAAUGCGUUGAUAUUGGCAGGAACGCCGGUGGCGAAAGCGCGCUGCUGGACCUCUCCUGACGCUGAGUGCGCGAAAGCUAGGGGAGCAAACGGG
rnacentral:rRNA from 1 species